ACACUGCUAUACAUGCAUGACACCAUUUUCGUUAAUCAUUGCAACGAAGGUUCGUGAUUAUCUCUGGAUUAAAAAUCAGCAAAGAGCGCCGCAGUUAGUUCCAAGGCACUGUAGAAGUAACAUCAAUAAAAACGAAGAUAUCUUCACCGAUGAACCAAGCUAACACACGCUAAUUAGUGACACACCACCAAAAAACUGGAACGAUUAGCAGCCAAGCAUUGUGCGUCUUUCCAACAUCCAGAUUGCAUUUAUACUGUUAACAUAAGUCACUCGUCAUCGUGUUCUUAAAAGCCGUCAGCCAAUUAAAUUUGUAGUGCUCGCUUAAAAAAAUCGAUCGAGGAUGAUCUUCCAAGGAUUAGCAUUGUUUGUUUUGUUAGUAGCAGUAUCAACUGCUCCUGCAGAUAUUGGUGGAAGUGAGAAUCUGGAGUCGGCUCCAGAUGUGCAUUCUAGUUCCAGCACGAAAGUUGGAGUAUCCAUCAAGAUCCAAGAUGAAGACGACAGCGAUCGCGUGUGGCCACUGUUUGACGAAGCUGAACCCGAACCUGUUGAGGGGGAAAGAUUCCGCCGGCAAGCACCAGCUAGGAAUACAACAAGACGUAGUCAGAGGGACCCUUAUGAUUAUAUACUUACUUUAAGUGAUGUUACGUACUAAGGGUCUUCUAGAAUCAGGCCACUGCUAGGCGGUUUUCCUAUCCAACAUCUGCCUUUGUAAAAAUCGAAACAACCUAAUGUAAAAGAAUUGACUGUUAUAGAAUUUAUCUUAUUAGUAAAUAGUUAUGUUUUUCCUGUGUUUUUUGGUAGAUUUGUAUAUUUAAGUGUUUACAAAAAAUGUAUGAUGUAAACUGAUUAAAAAUAAGUAAACUCGCGAUAACAGGGAAAACAACUAUCAUAGUUUAUAUAAACAAAAGAAAGAGUGGGAGUUGUGAUUCGGGUUCCAAAUACCAUGAAUUGUGUUUGUGUUGGAGCUGUACUAAACCUUCCAAUACAACCAUUGGCUGGGAAAAACGAUUUGAUAAUAAUCAUAAUUAUACGUUCGCGAUUUUAGUGAGGAGCUUUGGUCCAUAACACGAAAAUAGAAAAAGGGACGCAGACACAUUUUUACUAAAAGUAAUUGUAUAUUAUUGUUUGAAUUUUUGUUUAUUUACGUAAUAUACAUUUUUAUUGAAAUAUCCUAGAACUAUGAAG